AUGUGGGGAGAGUAACAGUGUGUGUGUAUGUGGGGAGAGUAACAGUGUGUGUAUGUAUGUGGGGAGAGUAACAGUGUGUGUGUAUGUGGGGAGAGUAACAGUGUGUGUGUAUGUGGGGAGAGUAACAGUGUGUGUGUGUGUGUGUGUGUAUGUGGGGAGAGUAACAGUGUGUGUGUAUGUGGGGAGAGUGACAGUGUGUGUGUGUAUGUGGGGAGAGUAACAGUGUGUGUGGGGAGAGUAACAGUGUGUGUGUGUGGGGAGAGUAACAGUGUGUGUGUGUGUAUGUGGGAGAGUAACAGUGUGUGUGUAUGUGGGGAGAGUAACAGUGUGUGUAUGUGGGGAGAGUGACAGUGUGUGUGUAUGUGGGGAGAGUAACAGUGUGUGUGUAUGUGGGGAGAGUAACAGUGUGUGUGUGUGUGGGGAGAGUAACAGUGUGUGUGUAUGUGGGGAGAGUAACAGUGUGUGUGUGUGUGGGGAGAGUAACAGUGUGUGUGUAUGUGGGGAGAGUGACAGUGUGUGUGUAUGUGGGGAGAGUGACAGUGUGUGUGUGUGUGGGGAGAGUAACAGUGUGUGUGUUGUAUGUGGGGAGAGUAACAGUGUGUGUGUAUGUGGGGAGAGUGACAGUGUGUGUGUGUGUGUGUGUGUGUGUGGGGAGAGUAACAGUGUGUGUGUAUGUGGGGAGAGUAACAGUGUGUGUGUAUGUGGGGAGUAACAGU
ensembl:lncRNA